GGACCUGUAGCUUAACUGGAUAGAGCACUACACUACGGAUGUAGUGGUUGGGGGUUCGAAUCCCUCCAGGUCCACAA
rnacentral:tRNA from 1 species